rnacentral:lncRNA from 1 species
AUGUGCAUUUCAAACAACGGUGCGUACAAUGCUGGGUUUGUUUCACGGCUCCUGUUGGGAAAAAAAGGACCUAUUCCUAAAGUCCGCCAUCCACUCACUGCAGAGGGCAAAUCCCAGUUGCCCACAUGCAAGGAGGCUGUCAAACAGAGAAAUCACUGCAGACUGUUGGUACACGGACAUCUGCUGCCCAGCUCAGGAGUAAAGUACCUUUUGUUUUGAUGAGGUGAUGGUGAGGACAGCCACAGCUUCCAUCUGGUAGAGGACUGCUUCCGCUCAGUCUUCCUAAUAGUGAUGAGAACAAGGAUCACCACAUCUCCCUGUUUACCCUACUUUCAUGCAUUUCGUCUUCAAGGCCCUGCAAAAGCUUCUGACCUCAAACCCCCAGACCUCUUAAUUAACUCAGUAACCUAUACAUUGCACAUUGGAGUGUGAAGGUAACAGUUUGUUCUAACUUUGGAGUAGUGGUGUAUUUUUUUGGUUUACAAUAAAGUUGGCUUUAACUAUUAUGUAUUUCA